rnacentral:rRNA from 1 species
UGCAAGUCGAACGGUGAAAGAGAGCUUGCUCUCUGGAUCAGUGGCGAACGGGUGAGUAACACGUGAGCAAUCUGCCCUUGACUCUGGGAUAAGCGUUGGAAACGACGUCUAAUACCGGAUACGAGCUGCGAAGGCAUCUUCAGCAGCUGGAAAGAACUUCGGUCAAGGAUGAGCUCGCGGCCUAUCAGCUAGUUGGUGAGGUAAUGGCUCACCAAGGCGUCGACGGGUAGCCGGCCUGAGAGGGUGACCGGCCACACUGGGACUGAGACACGGCCCAGACUCCUACGGGAGGCAGCAGUGGGGAAUAUUGCACAAUGGGCGAAAGCCUGAUGCAGCAACGCCGCGUGAGGGACGACGGCCUUCGGGUUGUAAACCUCUUUUAGCAAGGAAGAAGCGAAAGUGACGGUACUUGCAGAAAAAGCGCCGGCUAACUACGUGCCAGCAGCCGCGGUAAUACGUAGGGCGCAAGCGUUAUCCGGAAUUAUUGGGCGUAAAGAGCUCGUAGGCGGUUUGUCGCGUCUGCUGUGAAAACCCGAGGCUCAACCUCGGGCCUGCAGUGGGUACGGGCAGACUAGAGUGCGGUAGGGGAGAUUGGAAUUCCUGGUGUAGCGGUGGAAUGCGCAGAUAUCAGGAGGAACACCGAUGGCGAAGGCAGAUCUCUGGGCCGUAACUGACGCUGAGGAGCGAAAGGGUGGGGAGCAAACAGGCUUAGAUACCCUGGUAGUCCACCCCGUAAACGUUGGGAACUAGUUGUGGGGUCCAUUCCACGGAUUCCGUGACGCAGCUAACGCAUUAAGUUCCCCGCCUGGGGAGUACGGCCGCAAGGCUAAAACUCAAAGGAAUUGACGGGGACCCGCACAAGCGGCGGAGCAUGCGGAUUAAUUCGAUGCAACGCGAAGAACCUUACCAAGGCUUGACAUAUACGAGAACGCUGCAGAAAUGUAGCACUCUUUGGACACUCGUAAACAGGUGGUGCAUGGUUGUCGUCAGCUCGUGUCGUGAGAUGUUGGGUUAAGUCCC